CGCACAUUGCGCCCGCCAGUAUUCUGGCGGGCAUGCCUGUCUGAGCGUCAUUUCACCACUCGUCACCAGCUUGCUGGAGGCGGCGUUGGGGAUCAGCCUCCCGCACCGGGUCGCUGUCCCCUAAAUGAAGUGGCGGUCGCGCUGUGACCUCCUCCGCGUAGUAAUUGCUCUCGCGGGCGGAUAGCAGGGUGACCACGCCGUAAAACCCCAACUUUUACAUGGUUGACCUCAGAUCAGGUAGGAAUACCCGCUGAACUUAA
rnacentral:misc_RNA from 1 species